AUGCUUGCUUCGGCAGUAUAUGUUCUAAAAUUGGAUUGAUACAGAGAAGGCAUAAUCUCUGCACAAGGAGAACAUGCAAAUUCAUAAAGUGUUCCAAAUUUUA